rnacentral:rRNA from 1 species
GAUGAACGCUGGCGGCGUGCCUAAUACAUGCCAGUCGAGCGAACAGACGAGGAGCUUGCUCCUCUGACGUUAGCGGCGGACGGGUGAGUAACACGUGGAUAACCUACCUAUAAGACUGGGAUAACUUCGGGAAACCGGAGCUAAUACCGGAUAAUAUAUUGAACCGCAUGGUUCAAUAGUGAAAGACGGUUUUGCUGUCACUUAUAGAUGGAUCCGCGCCGCAUUAGCUAGUUGGUAAGGUAACGGCUUACCAAGGCAACGAUGCGUAGCCGACCUGAGAGGGGAAUCGCCCACCCGGAACCUGAGCAACGUCCCAGCCCCCUAGGGAGGCAGCAGUAGGGAAUCUUCCGCAAUGGGCGAAAGCCUGACGGAGCAACGCCGCGUGAGUGAUGAAGGUCUUCGGAUCGUAAAACUCUGUUAUUAGGGAAGAACAAAUGUGUAAGUAACUAUGCACGUCUUGACGGUACCUAAUCAGAAAGCCACGGCUAACUACGUG